UACGUAGGGUGCGAGCGUUGUUCGGAUUUACUGGGCGUAAAGGGCGCGUAGGCGGUGCGGUAAGUCUGUAGUGAAAUCUCUGGGCUCAACUCAGAGUCUGCUGCAGAAACUGCCGUGCUUGAGUGUGGGAGAGGUGAGUGGAAUUCCCGGUGUAGCGGUGAAAUGCGUAGAGAUCGGCAGGAACACCCAGGGGGAAACCAGUCGACUGGGCAGCACCUGACGCUGAGGUGCGAGAGCGUGGGGAGCGAACAGG
rnacentral:rRNA from 1 species